rnacentral:rRNA from 1 species
AACGAACGCUGGCGGCGUGCCUAACACAUGCAAGUCGAACGGUAACGGGCCUUCGGGUGCCGACGAGUGGCGAACGGGUGAGUAAUGCAUCGGAACGUACCUUUCAGUGGGGGAUAACGUAGCGAAAGUUACGCUAAUACCGCAUAUUCUGUGCGCAGGAAAGCAGGGGAUCGCAAGACCUUGCGCUGAUUGAGCGGCCGAUGUCAGAUUAGCUAGUUGGUGAGGUAAAGGCUCACCAAGGCGACGAUCUGUAGCGGGUCUGAGAGGAUGAUCCGCCACACUGGAACUGAGACACGGUCCAGACUCCUACGGGAGGCAGCAGUGGGGAAUUUUGGACAAUGGGGGCAACCCUGAUCCAGCCAUGCCGCGUGAGUGAAGAAGGCCUUCGG